rfam:Triticum aestivum genome assembly, contig: Triticum_aestivum_CS42_TGACv1_scaffold_392578_5AS
AAGCUGCCCCCUCCGUUCCGAAUUACUUGUCUUGGAUUUGUCUAGAUACACAUCCGUAUCUAGACUCAUUUUGAUGCUAGAUACUUCUGUAUCUAGACAAAUCUAAGACAAGUAAUUCGGAACGGAGGGAGUAGGAA